rnacentral:rRNA from 1 species
UACGUAGGGGGCUAGCGUUGUCCGGAAUCAUUGGGCGUAAAGCGCGUGUAGGCGGUUCGAUAAGUCUGCUGUGAAAGUCGGGGGCUCAACCCUCGAAUGCCGGUGGAUACUGUCGGGCUAGAGUGCGGAAGAGGCGAGUGGAAUUCCUGGUGUAGCGGUGAAAUGCGCAGAUAUCAGGAGGAACACCAAUUGCGAAGGCAGCUCGCUGGGACGUUACUGACGCUGAGACGCGAAAGCGUGGGGAGCAAACAGG